UACGAAGGGGGGCUAGCGUUGCUCGGAAUGACUGGGCGUAAAGGGCGCGUAGGCGGAUGGCACAGUCAGAUGUGAAAUUCCCGGGCUUAACCUGGGGGCUGCAUUUGAUACGUGUUGUCUUGAGUUCGGAAGAGGGUCGUGGAAUUCCCAGUGUAGAGGUGAAAUUCGUAGAUAUUGGGAAGAACACCGGUGGCGAAGGCGACUUACUGGACACAUAUUGACGCUGAGGUGCGAAAGCGUGGGGAGCAAACAGG
rnacentral:rRNA from 1 species